rnacentral:rRNA from 1 species
UAGGGAAUCUUCCACAAUGGGCGCAAGCCUGAUGGAGCAACACCGCGUGAGUGAAGAAGGGUUUCGGCUCGUAAAGCUCUGUUGUUAAAGAAGAACACGUAUGAGAGUAACUGUUCAUACGUUGACGGUAUUUAACCAGAAAGUCACGGCUUACUACGCGCCAG